GACGAACGCUGGCGGCGUGCUUAACACAUGCAAGUCGAACGGAAAGGCCCUGCUUUUGUGGGGUGCUCGAGUGGCGAACGGGUGAGUAACACGUGAGUAACCUGCCCUUGACUUUGGGAUAACUUCAGGAAACUGGGGCUAAUACCGGAUAGAAGCUCCUGCUGCAUGGUGGGGGUUGGAAAGUUUCGGCGGUUGGGGAUGGACUCGCGGCUUAUCAGCUUGUUGGUGGGGUAGUGGCUUACCAAGGCUUUGACGGGUAGCCGGCCUGAGAGGGUGACCGGCCACAUUGGGACUGAGAUACGGCCCAGACUCCUACGGGAGGCAGCAGUGGGGAAUAUUGCACAAUGGGCGGAAGCCUGAUGCAGCAACGCCGCGUGCGGGAUGACGGCCUUCGGGUUGUAAACCGCUUUCGCCUGUGACGAAGCGUGAGUGACGGUAAUGGGUAAAGAAGCACCGGCUAACUACGUG
rnacentral:rRNA from 1 species